rnacentral:rRNA from 1 species
CAAUAGCGUAUAUUAAAGUUGUUGCGGUUAAAAAGCUCGUAGUUGGAUCUCGGCAGGCAGGGGGUGGUUCGCUCUUAGCGCUACUGCCCCAUUUGCCUGUGUGAUUGGCGGAGGUUUCGGGGUGCUCUUCGUUGAGUGACCCGGGGCGCCGUCAGGUUUACUUUGAAAAAAUUAGAGUGCUCAAAGCAGGCUUUUCACGCUUGAAUAUUCGUGCAUGGAAUAAUGGAAUAGGAACUCGUUUCUAUUUUGUUGGUUUUCGGAAAUCGAGUUAAUGAUUAAUAGGGACAAUUGGGGGCAUUAGUAUUCAGACGACAGAGGUGAAAUUCUCGGACCGUCUGAAGACUAACUACUGCGAAAGCAUUUGCCAAGAGUGUUUUCAUUAA